AUUGAACGCUGGCGGCAUGCUUUACACAUGCAAGUCGAACGGUAACAGGGUGCUUGCACCGCUGACGAGUGGCGAACGGGUGAGUAAUGCGUCGGAACGUGCCGAGUAGUGGGGGAUAACGCAGCGAAAGUUGUGCUAAUACCGCAUACGUACUGAGGUAGAAAGUGGGGGACCUUCGGGCCUCACGCUAUUCGAGCGGCCGACGUCUGAUUAGCUAGUAGGGGAGGUAAAGGCUCACCUAGGCGACGAUCAGUAGCGGGUCUGAGAGGAUGGUCCGCCACACUGGGACUGAGACACGGCCCAGACUCCUACGGGAGGCAGCAGUGGGGAAUUUUGGACAAUGGGCGAAAGCCUGAUCCAGCCAUGCCGCGUGUCUGAAGAAGGCCUUCGGGUUGUAAAGGACUUUUGUCAGGGAGGAAAUCCCUAGUGCUAAUAACACUGGGGGAUGACAGUACCUGAAGAAUAAGCACCGGCUAACUACGUGCCAGCCGCCGCGGUAG
rnacentral:rRNA from 1 species